GCUUACGGCCAUACCACCCUGAACACGCCCGAUCUCGUCUGAUCUCGGAAGCUAAGCAGGGUCUGGUCAGUACUUGGAUGGGAGACCGCCUGGGAAUACCAGGUGCUGUAAGCU
rnacentral:rRNA from 1 species